rnacentral:rRNA from 1 species
GAUGAACGCUGGCGGCGUGCCUAAUACAUGCAAGUCGAGCGAACGGACGAGAAGCUUGCUUCUCUGAUGUUAGCGGCGGACGGGUGAGUAACACGUGGAUAACCUACCUAUAAGACUGGGAUAACUUCGGGAAACCGGAGCUAAUACCGGAUAAUAUUUUGAACCGCAUGGUUCAAAAGUGAAAGACGGUUUUGCUGUCACUUAUAGAUGGAUCCGCGCUGCAUUAGCUAGUUGGUAAGGUAACGGCUUACCAAGGCAACGAUGCAUAGCCGACCUGAGAGGGGGAUCGGCCCCAAUGGAAAUGAGACACGGUCCAGACUCCUACGGGAGGCAGCCGUAGGGAAUCUUCCGGAAAGGGCGAAAGCCUGACGGAGCAACGCCGCGUGAGUGAUGAAGGUCUUCGGAUCGUAAAACUCUGUUAUUAGGGAAGAACAUAUGUGUAAGUAACUGUGCACAUCUUGACGGUACCUAAUCAGAAAGCCACGGCUAACUACGUG